GGCUUUGUGACAAAAUAUAGAAGGUCCAGCCUGCCCAGUGACAAAGUUAAACGGCCGCGGUACCCUAACCGUGCGAAGGUAGCGCAAUCACUUGUUCUUUAAAUAAGGACUAGUAUGAAUGGCAUCACGAGGAUUAUACUGUCUCCCCCCUUUAAUCAGUGAAACUGAUCUCCCCGUGAAGAAGCGGGAAUUAUUUUAUAAGACGAGAAGACCCUAUGGAGCUUUAAACCUAGCACCACGUACCUUAAAUUAUUUCAUAAAAAACAGGUAAAGCUUGCGUACUGGUUUUCGGUUGGGGUGACCACGGAGCAAAACAAAACCUCCAUGUUGAAAAGAAUUUUUCUUAAUCCAAGAACAACAUUUCAAAGAAUCAGAAUACUGACAUAAUUGAUCCAAACAAUUUUGAUCAACGAACCAAGUUACCCUAGGGAUAACAGCGCAAUCCAUUUCAAGAGCUCAUAUCGACAAAUGGGUUUACGACCUCGAUGUUGGAUCAGGGUAUCCCAGUGGUGCAGCCGCUACUAAAGGUUCGUUUGUUCAACGAUUAAAACCCU
rnacentral:rRNA from 1 species